CGAAAGCCUGACGGAGCAAGACCGCGUGAGGGACGAAGGCUCUUGGGUUGUAAACCUCUUUUCUCAGGGAAGAAACCUGACGGUACCUGAGGAAUAAGCAUCGGCUAACUCCGUGCCAGCAGCCGCGGUAAGACGGAGGAUGCAAGCGUUAUCCGGAAUGAUUGGGCGUAAAGCGUUCGCAGGUGGCUGUUCAAGUCGGCUGUCAAAGACUGGGGCUUAACCCCGGAAAGGCAGUGGAAACUGAACGGCUAGAGUGCAUUAGGGGUAGAGGGAAUUCCCAGUGUAGCGGUGAAAUGCGUAGAGAUUGGGAAGAACACCGGUGGCGAAAGCGCUCUGCUGGACUGCAACUGACACUGAGGGACGAAAGCUAGGGGAGCGAAAGGGAUUAGAUACCCCUGUAGUCCUAGCCGUAAACGAUGGAUACUAGGCGUUGCCGGGCUCGACCCUGGCAGUGCCGGAGCUAACGCGUUAAGUAUCCCGCCUGGGAAGUACGCACGCAAGUGUGAAACUCAAAGGAAUUGACGGGGGCCCGCACAAGCGGUGGAGUAUGUGGUUUAAUUCGAUGCAACGCGAAGAACCUUACCAGGGCUUGACAUGUCGCGAACCCCGCUGAAAGGUGGGGGUGCCUUAGGGAGCGCGAACACAGGUGGUGCAUGGCUGUCGUCAGCUCGUGUCGUGAGAUGUUGGGUUAAGUCCCGCAGCGAGCGCAACCUUCGUGUUCAGUUGCCAUCAUUAAGUUGGGAACUCUGAACAGACUGCCGGUGACAAACCGGAGGAAGGUGGGGAUGACGUCAAGUCAGCAUGCCCCUUACGUCCUGGGCAACACACGUACUACAAUGCUGCGGACAGAGGGUACCGAGCCGGUGACGGCAAGCCAAUCCCGCAAACCGUGGCUCAGUUCAAAUCGCAGGCUGCAACUCGCCUGCGUGAAGGCGGAAUCGCUAGUAAUCGCAGGUCAGCAUACUGCGGUGAAUACGUUCCCGGGCCUUGUACACACCGCCCGUCACACCAUGGGAGCUGGUUUAGCCCGAAGUCGUUACUCUAACCGAAAGGGGGAGGACGCCGAAGGCUGGGCUGGUGACUGGGGUGAAGUCGUAACAAGGUAGCCGUACCGGAAGGUGUGGCUGGAUCACCUCCUUUUUAGGGAGACCAACUUGUCUGUGACGCAUUACCCAACAGAAAUAAAGCGUGCAGUCAAGUCAUCCCAAGGUCGAGCGAGGUUUUUGAGAAAAAGGCUUUCAAACUAUACUCGGGUUCGGCGCUUUGAGCGCAUAGAUUUGAGAUGUAAAUCAGAUUGAAUCUAAAAUUGUCAGUCAAAAGUCUUGACAGUCUCGGGAGAGGAUGUGUUAAGAUGAAAGACCGGGGGAACCCCCCAGAGCCAGUCAAAGCGCAGCCGGCAAUUUGAGAAAAAAUCCAGAAAAAGGGUUGACAAUCAAAAAGCAGCCGUGCUAAAGUAAAAGGCCGGGGCGGAAAAAAGAGUGGGUGAGUUGAGAGACGACCCCAGCUUAUGAGUUCAGCCAGCCGGCGCAAAGAAAAAAAAUUCCAUCAAAGGGAUUGACAGUCAAAAAGCAGCCGUGCUAAAGUAAAAGACCGGGGCGGAAAAAAAACUGGAACAGUUAAGCAACAACCCAAGUUGAAGAUGUAAGCCAGCCGGCUCAAAGAAAAAAAAUUCCGCCAAAGGGAUUGACAGUUAAAAAGCCGUCGUGCUAAACUAAAAGACCGGGGCGGAAAAAAGAAGCGAGAGAUUUCAGCAACGACCCAAGUAAUGGACUUGAGCGCCUGCUGGAUUCUAUCCAGUCAGAACCUUGAAAACUGCAUAGCAACUUGUCAGGGAGAAGCUUUUAGUGAAGAGCUGAAAGCUAAUCAAACAGACAUCAAUGUUAAACGUGGUCAAGCUACAAAGAGCUGAUGGUGGAU
rnacentral:sRNA from 1 species